UCGAUUGUUUGAUCAUGGCUCAGAACGAACGCUGGCGGCAGGCCUAACACAUGCAAGUCGAACGCCGUAGCAAUACGGAGUGGCAGACGGGUGAGUAACGCGUGGGAACAUACCCCUCGGUUCGGAAUAACUCAGGGAAACUGGAGCUAAUACCGGAUACGUCCGAGGUUUUAAUCGACCUUGGAGAAAGAUUUAUCGCCGGAGGAUUGGCCCGCGUCUGAUUAGCUUGUUGGUGAGGUAAUGGCUCACCAAGGCGACGAUCAGUAGCUGGUCUGAGAGGAUGAUCAGCCACAUUGGGACUGAGACACGGCCCAAACUCCUACGGGAGGCAGCAGUGGGGAAUAUUGGACAAUGGGCGAAAGCCUGAUCCAGCCAUGCCGCGUGAGUGAUGAAGGCCUUAGGGUUGUAAAGCUCUUUUACCCGGGAAGAUAAUGACGGUACCGGGAGAAUAAGCCCCGGCUAACUUCGUGCCAGCAGCCGCGGUAAUACGAAGGGGGCUAGCGUUGUUCGGAAUUACUGGGCGUAAAGCGCACGUAGGCGGAUCUUUAAGUCAGGGGUGAAAUCCCGAGGCUCAACCUCGGAACUGCCUUUGAUACUGGGGAUAUCGAGUCCGGGAGAGGUGAGUGGAACUGCGAGUGUAGAGGUGAAAUUCGUAGAUAUUCGCAAGAACACCAGUGGCGAAG
rnacentral:rRNA from 1 species